rnacentral:rRNA from 1 species
UACGUAGGGUGCGAGCGUUAAUCGGAAUUACUGGGCGUAAAGCGUGCGCAGGCGGUUUUGUAAGCCAGAUGUGAAAUCCCCGGGCUCAACCUGGGAAUGGCAUUUGGGACUGCAAGGCUGGAGUACGGCAGAGGAGACUGGAAUUCCUGGUGUAGCAGUGAAAUGCGUAGAUAUCAGGAGGAAUACCGAUGGCGAAGGCAGGUCUCUGGGCUGAUACUGACGCUGAGGUGCGAAAGCGUGGGGAGCAAACAGG